rnacentral:rRNA from 1 species
UACAGAGGUCUCAAGCGUUGUUCGGAUUCAUUGGGCGUAAAGGGUGCGUAGGUGGCGCUGUAAGUCGGGUGUGAAAUUUCGGAGCUUAACUCCGAAACUGCAUUCGAUACUGCGGUGCUUGAGGACUGGAGAGGAGACUGGAAUUUAUGGUGUAGCAGUGAAAUGCGUAGAGAUCAUAAGGAAGACCAGUGGCGAAGGCGGGUCGCUGGACAGUUCCUGACACUGAGGCACGAAGGCCAGGGGAGCAAACGGG